UGUGGUGAGUUCAGUUUGUGUUUGUGAAGCAUCAGCACACACUCCUUGAGAAACAUCUGGAGAUGGAGUCGAAGGGCUCCAUGAAGCUUUGUCACCUCCUUCUCUGUCUCCUCAGCAGGGUCAUUUGUAGUGAAUGUGACACAGAGCUGGUAUCAUGCAGAGGAGAACCACAACAUCUCACUGGAAUGGAUGUUCCCCACCAGCACGGACCACUCCCCCAACUCCCUUGAUAUCGGCUGUGAGAUGUUAAAUUCUGAUAGACCUUCAGUCCUGUUUCAUCUAUAUGAAGGUGUCGAGGUCCCAGAGUUUCAGGAUAAACGCUUUGCAGGACGAGUCCAGUGGGACAAAGACGUCCUCAGAGAAGGACGACUCAGGUUUCACAUCUCCAGACUCCAGACUAAUGACGCGGGCCGAUACUCAUGUUCUGUGUUCACAAGUUAUGGGAGGAACUAUAAGGAAUGUCUACUCAAUGUCACUGCAGUGAAGGAUCGGUCCGAACCUGAUACGAGUCUGAGAGGAGAUCAUCUGAGAAGGAUCAGCCUCUACUGCGCACUGGGACUAGCAGCAGCAGCUCUACUUGUCAUUUCUUUUUCUUUUUAUUCUCUGCGUUGCCAAAAAGAUUAGUGACUCAGGAAGCCCAGCUGGUGAACGCUGUGAAUUAGUUUAGUUUCAUCAGGACCAAACUGAUUCACCUUCUGGUACUUCUGACAUCAGAAUGUGAAUGUAAGUCGGUUUCAUCCCAGGCCCUGCUGACCUGCGUCUUAAUGUGCCCUUAACUCAGCAUUGCUCCUGUUUCUGUGACCACAGAGAGUGAAUAUUAGUUACUGACGGACAUGAAGCUUUAUCAGUGUGAAAGUGGGUCAAUGAGGACAUGACUUAAACGCACCUCUACGUCCUACUGGACUAAGUAGCACUUUAUUAUCACUUGUGAUGGCGUUUACUACUUAUAGCACUUUUUACAGAUUCCUCAUUAUUGGUGCUCUGGUUCUGUUCCCUCUUGAUUGAAUGAACUUACUGUAAGUCACUUUGGAUAAAAUCAUCAGCUAGAUGAUAACUGCAAAGCACUUUGAGGAGUCAGGAGACUAGUAAGGCGAUUUACAAGUACCCUUUACAUUUACCAUUUAUACAUCUACCAUUUCUAACUGUAUAAAAAAUCUAAACUUUUGACAAUUGUGUAGCUGCUUGUGGGUCUGCUUUGAUAACAGAAAUUAGUGGAUGUGGUUUUAUUAAGGCGGGACAACUUUAUGGUCAUUUAUAGUGAGACUUGAACAACAACAUAAAUGAAUAUAAUUCAAAAAGAUAACACACAUCAAAAAAUAGCUUGAAAUGAAAAUCUGCAAUAAAAGUAUUUUUCUUUGGAACACAGCCAAAGAGUUCUUUAGUUUAACCAAUUCAGGAUUUAAGUGUGACAGAUGAAGACUUGGAGGUAAUAACCUACAUCAUUAUUUUUUUAAUUGUCAUGUAGUGCAUUGUGAUCAACAAAUAAUCCCUCUUCAUUAGAGAUGUUUGUUUCUUAAAUAUAUAACAAGAUGUAUACAACAAUGGUUGCAAAUGAACCUUAAUCAUAUGAAAUAAACAGCAUUAAAUACA